UCAUUGUGGGACACAUUAUCCUGGACCCGUCCCAGCUUCAAAUAAUCGUAGCAGAAGAUUUAUUAAUAUAUAAUGUAACAAAAACCUUUAAUCAUAAGAUGAAUACCAGAUGAUUCCAUUUAUCGUAAAUUUUUCUAGGUUAUCAGUUGGAUCUAUAUUAUUAUUCUUGCUUUUUGCUAUUUUGUCUUUAUAUUUUCUAGUUGGAGUUUUAUAUCGAAAAUGUUAUAGGCGACACUCUGGUUAUGAAAUUCUUCCAAACCAUGAUUUUUGGGUGGAUUUACCAUUUUUAAUAAGAGAUGGAUAUAUGUAUAUGGUUAGAGGUUGUCAGGUUGAACCUUUUUACGACCAGAUAUAAUCUCAGAUAUUUACUAAUUUGUGUAGUUCUUAAUUUUUUCAGUUAUAUAUGCCCGAAUAUUUUAUAAUUUAUAUGUAAUUAUCUCAAGAUUCAUAUUAAUUGCCCUAGGUUCUAAAUAACAUUGUAUAUAAUAUAAUAAAACUUUUAAAGAAUUACUUAUAUAUUAGUUAAUUGUCUUUAGUUAUAGAAUUAUGAAUUAUAAAUACACAAGACAUUUUUGAUAAAAUUAAUUCUUUUCACUCAUAGUGAUAUUAAUUUUAAUUAGAUUAUCUUUUAUAUGAUAUCUAAGCUAUCCUUUAUACUUUGUGGAGACAAUAUAGUGACUUGGGGAAAAAUUUAAGGUAAAUGAUUAUGAGAGGGGCCUUUUUUUGGGCAGGCAUGUUUAAAAAGCUAAGCUUGUUAUUUAAACUUCAUUUUUUUAAGAAGUAAGAAAAUAAAAAAAAUUAUGUAUACAAUUUAAUUAAUGAAUUGAGUGGAGAGAGA